UAUUGUCGGUAAUCGUCUUUCAUUUUCAUCCCUCAGAAUAUCUCAAUCGUCCCGGCCACCCCCACCAAAAGGUCAUUUUAUAGGCCUGGUUAUCAAUCAAUCUAUACAGAAAGAUAUCUGGUUUAUUGAUGACACCUAGAACGCUAAAUAUCUGGUUUAUCCAACGGAUUUGAAACUAGGGUUAGGGUUGCGCUAUCUUCUAUUGAAAUCAAUCUUUGAUAUCACCAUGUACAACGGAAUCGGGUUGCAGACUGCUCGGGGAUCCGGCACCAAUGGAUACAUCCAGGCCAACAAGUUUUUCAUCAGGCCGAAAACGAACAAAGUUGUCACCGACUCAUCUAAGGGCUUCGAGAUCGGCCAGGGAACUGCUGGUGUUACCGGGAAGGCCAAUAAGGAGAUCUUGGAGCAUGACCGCAAGAGGAAGAUCGAACUCAAGCUCCUUGUGUUGGAGGAGAAGUUGUCGGAUCAGGGUUAUACGGAUGCUGAGGUUGCAGAGAAGCUUGAUGAGGCUCGCAACACUCUUGAGGCAGCUGCUAAGGAGAAUGAGGAUGGGGGAUCUAAUGCUGUCGUUGUCUCAGACAAGGUUUCAAAGACACAGACUCAUCAGAUAGCUGCUUUGAAGGAAAAGCAGAUGGAAACUCUAAAAGCUGCUCUUGGGAUAGGAUCUGAAGCUGAAGAAAAAAGGAACCAGCGUGAUACUCAGUCCCCAAAUUCUGAGGAAAGUGACGACGAGGAUAAACCAAGGCAUGGCUAUAAAAAGGACGAUGCUGCUGCUGGUAAGCUGAAUGAAACAGAUUCAGAAUAUGAGAAGGAUGAUAUUCAGAAGGGUGUGAAGAUUAAUGAUUCUGAAAGAUAUGAAUCUGUAAGCCAAAGGAAAGGCAAAAGUACAAGAAGAAGACAUGAAAAGUCAUCUGAUUCUGAUAGCAGUGGGAAGUACAUGAAAGGGACUAAGAAAAAAUACAGGAAAGGUAGCAAGGGGAAAGAUAAUGAUUCUGAUGUUGAUGCUAAGAAGAGAAAGGAAAAAUCAUCGAGGAAACACAAGAAGAGCAGAAGAUAUGAUAGUAAUUCUUCUGAUUCGGAAUCUCAGUCCAAGUCUGACACUGAUUCAGAUUCAGAUUCAGAAUCUGACCGUGAUAAUAACUAUAGGAAAGCACAUAGGAGAUAUGAUUCUGAUGAUGAGUACAGUUCUGAUGAAAGCCCCACACAUAAAACACACAGUUCAAAGUUACCUUCUAAACGCAGGCAACGUGAUUCUGGUGAUGGAUAUAGUUCUGAUGAAAACCCUAAACAGAAGACUCAGAAGUUGAAGCGGCAUUCAAGGAGUAGGCAUCAUGUCUCUGAAGAAUAUAGUUCAGAAGAAGGGAAUAAACAGAAUCAGAAGGCGAAGCAGCAAGCGAAGAGCAGGCGGCAUGAUUCUGAUAACAAAUAUAGUUCUGAUGAAGGUCCUAAACAUAAAACUCAGACAGGAAAGCAGACCUCAAAGAGCAGGCAGCUUGGUCACGACGAGGAAUUUUAUUCUGAUGAGGAGGAAGACAAAAGAAAUCAACACAAGAAAGGGAGAUAUCAGCAGAAAAAUAACAGCCCAGAAGAAGAUUAUUCUUUUCCCAUUGACAAGAAGAAUGAUUCUUUUUCCAAUGAUAAGAAAAGAAUUAGUGAGAGGAGAGACAAAGUUGUUCGAAGGUAUGAUUAUGAAAGUGACUAUGAUUCUGAGCAUGCAAUCAAAAAGAAAAAGGAGAAAUUUGAUUAUAGUAGAGGGCGAUAUGAUACUUACAUUGAUGAAAUCAAACCUGGCCAUCCCGGUCAAGAGAGCAAGGCCGAAAGUGGUAGAAGGCAUGAUUUCCAUGCUGACACUGAUGACCGUAAGGGCGAUGAUUUCCUUGAGAGCAGAAGGGUGAGAGAUCUGAAGCAUGCGAAGAUUGAAGGAAGUAAGUCCUAUGAGAAGAAAAGUAGUGGUCAUGGGGAUGAUUUGAGUGCCAGAGGUGGAAAAGGUGGACAGAAAGGCCGUUCACUUGAAGUUGAUGAUUAUUGGAAACAAAAAAAUCAAGCUGAUGGAUUGAACACAUUAAGGAAACUAGGGCAACUUUAUGAAUUAAAGGGAGAUAGGUCAGGAGGUGGAAGCGAAGACAUAAUGAGGGGCAAGAGAGAGAAAGACGAUGAGAAUAAGGAUGACCAACCUGAGGGGAAGUUAAGAAGGCGGGACCCAGAAAAAGAGGCUGAGCACAGUGGGGCUAAGAUUGAAUUGGAGAGACAUGGCAGAUCAUAUAAGAAUAAGGAAGAUCACAACAGAGGCUCGAGACUAGAUAGAUUAAGUGGACAUGGUGUUUAUGAUGGUGAACGUGGGGAUAUACAUAGUACUAGGAACGAAUUGCACCAGGGAAAUAGGAUUGAUGAUCAACACUACGAAAGUCAUGGAUCAAGUAGAAGAGAAAAGAGGGACGAAGAUGGCUACCGCAGCAAAAAGCAUGAAAGGUAUGAAGAGGAAGAGUCACACAGGAAGCGUGAAAAGGACCGGGAGCUUCGACAGGGGGCUGGACUAGGAAGAGAGCAAGAAGAGGAGCGAGGAAGUAGAAGGGAUGAGAGAGAUAGGGUAUACACUUCUAAGAGAGCCAGAUAUGAUGAUGAUCAUUCCAGUGGAAGAAGAAGAUAUGACAGUGGAAGUGAUGAUGAUAAGAAGUCAAGACACAGAGAAUAAAUACAAUUGGUGUCUUGCAUUUGGCAGAAUUGAUGGGCUGAUGACAUAUUAUGUUGGAUCAUUACUCAUAGGAUAUUCAAAUUCGGUGUUAACAAAAGAACAGUUUGUUUUCGUCAAGCAUCUUUCUGUUUACCUGUGGAGGGAAUGAAACUGAAGCGAAUUGAUAAUGCUAAGCCAGGCGUGCAAGCAGUUGCCUUUGUCA